CGCUCUGGCGCCCUCUGCUGGCAGCAAGGAGAGCUGCGGCAUGCGAAUGGCCUGGGCUGCUUUUUCUCCCUCUCUGGGAAUCCGUUUCUCCGCCUCUAGGAGGCUGUCCAUUCUUCAUUGUCCUUACCCCCACUCUCCUUUGGAAUUCAGAUGCUGUGCUGGGUGCCAGAGCACAAAGAUGAGCGAGGGUGCCUGCAUUUGUGACACAGUCCGAAAGACAGGUAAGUUAUUUCUAUCCCUUCGCCCACCCUUUCAGAAGGAAGAAUGCAAACACAUGGUUUGCUCUUACUGGGUACAAAAUCCUUAAUCAAUACUUAGAUCAUUUUGAAAGAGCAUUUUAUGAAAAAUAGUGAAUGUCUUCAUUAAAUGCAUUCAGAAUAGGAAGACAUUUAUUAAAACAUAUUCAAGGAAGAGUUAACUUUCCAGACAAUCCAUUUAAAACUGCCGAAGAAGGAGUUCUUGUGGUGGCGCAGUGGAAAUGAAUCCAACUAGAAACCAAGAGGCUGCGGGUUCGAUCCGGUGUUGCUGAGCUGUGGUAUAGUUUGCAGGUGUGGCUCGGAGCUGGCUUUGCUGUGACUCUGGCAUAGGCUGGCAGCUGUAGCUUCGAUUAGACCCAUAGUGCAGCCCUUAAAAAAGCAAAAUACAAAACAAAACAAAAGCCAAAAAAAAAAAAAAAAAACUGCAGAAGGAGACUUUCAGGCUGCUAGAGUACUUGCGUAUUUAGAUCUCAAGAGUGUGUCUGGAUCACAGAAGGGGUAACCCCACUAAACCUGUGGUGUUCAGGGGUCCAGUACUGCUCCAGCUGCUUCCUGUAAUAUACAUCUUCAUAAAUCACUUUGCAGCCAGAGGAAGAUGAUCAUAAACAUGCCCAAGAGAAACCAUUACAGGGACUAGGAAGGAGUUCCUACUGUGGCUCAGUGGGUCAAGGACCCAACGUUGUCUCUAUGAGGAUGUGGGUUCAAUUCCUAGCCUGGCAUAGUGGGUUAAGGAUCUGGUGUUGCCUUAAGCUGCAGGUACGUAGCAGAUGCAGUCCAGAUCUGGUGUUGCUGUGGCUGUGGCCUAGGACCCCUAGUGCAGUAAAUGCCAUAUGCCGUGGGUGUGGUUGUAAAAAGAAAAAAUAUUGUAAUUAAAAUACAAAGGGACUGAUGUAUUUGGCUUGAAAAAGACUAAGCCCAACAGUGAGAAUUCUUUUCUUCUUUUUUUUUUUUUUUUGUGUGUGUGUGUUUUUGCUAUUUCUUGGGCCACUCCCAUAGCAUAUGGAGGUUCCCAGGGUAGGGGUCUAAUUGGAGCUGUAGCUGCCAGCCUAC
rnacentral:lncRNA from 1 species